AUGGGGGAAACCCUGAUGCAGCGACGCAGCGUGCGGGAUGACGGCCUUCGGGUUGUAAACCGCUUUCAGCAGGGAAGAAGCGAAAGUGACGGUACCUGCAGAAGAAGUACCGGCUAACUACGUGCCAGCAGCCGCGGUAAUACGUAGGGUACGAGCGUUGUCCGGAAUUAUUGGGCGUAAAGAGCUCGUAGGUGGUUGGUCACGUCUGCUGUGGAAACGCAACGCUUAACGUUGCGCGUGCAGUGGGUACGGGCUGACUAGAGUGCAGUAGGGGAGUCUGGAAUUCCUGGUGUAGCGGUGAAAUGCGCAGAUAUCAGGAGGAACACCGGUGGCGAAGGCGGGACUCUGGGCUGUAACUGACACUGAGGAGCGAAAGCAUGGGGAGCGAACAGGAUUAGAUACCCUGGUAGUCCAUGCCGUAAACGUUGGGCACUAGGUGUGGGGGACAUUCCACGUUCUCCGCGCCGUAGCUAACGCAUUAAGUGCCCCGCCUGGGGAGUACGGUCGCAAGGCUAAAACUCAAAGGAAUUGACGGGGGCCCGCACAAGCGGCGGAGCAUGCGGAUUAAUUCGAUGCAACGCGAAGAACCUUACCAAGGCUUGACAUACACUGGACCGUUCUGGAAACAGUUCUUCUCUUUGGAGCUGGUGUACAGGUGGUGCAUGGUUGUCGUCAGCUCGUGUCGUGAGAUGUUGGGUUAAGUCCCGCAACGAGCGCAACCCUCGUUCUAUGUUGCCAGCACGUGAUGGUGGGAACUCAUAGGAGACUGCCGGGGUCAACUCGGAGGAAGGUGGGGAUGACGUCAAAUCAUCAUGCCCUUUAUGUCUUGGGCUUCACGCAUGCUACAAUGGCUGGUACAGAGAGAGGCGAACCCGUGAGGGUAAGCGAAUCCCUUAAAGCCAGUCUCAGUUCGGAUCGUAGUCUGCAAUUCGACUACGUGAAGUCGGAGUCGCUAGUAAUCGCAGAUCAGCAACGCUGCGGUGAAUACGUUCCCGGGCCUUGUACACACCGCCCGUCAAGUCACGAAAGUCGGUAACACCCGAAGCCGGUGUCCCAACCCAC
rnacentral:rRNA from 1 species